CGAGCCUUAAACAGAGCAGAGUGCACAUAAACAUUUUAUUGGAUAAACAGUUUUCAUUACAUUAAAUAAACAAUUUGCAUUUCAUUGAAACAUUUAGAGCUUAAUAACUCAAUCAUACUUUGUACAUUUGGAAAGUAAUGCCCACCUGGAUAGGCAAAGCCUGAAGAUCAUACACAUAUAAACCUGUCUUGGAAAAGUAGCGCUAAUCCUCCUGGUCAUCACAAAGCCUACAAGAAAUUCUAUUCUUAAUAGGUCUCGUGAAGCUAACUUAAUAU
rnacentral:lncRNA from 1 species